AAAGAGGCUCGGUCGCAAUACACAGGCUUCAGGGAAGACCGGAGUUUGCCAUCUCCGUACCACCACCACCACCACACACAGCACCCUCAAGACUCCCUGUGAUCCUGGGAUGCACUCAACGAAGAGUGUGUGGCCCAGGAUUUGAUGGAAAUGCUACAAGAGAAGCAGGCUCUCCCCUUCUGAAAUGAUGAGUGAUAAUGACCAUACAGGUCAACUUUUCCACCACUUGGAGGGAGCCUGUCAAAGAACAAAGGCAACAGAGAAGAGAGCAGAGCUGAGGUUGGGUGAGAGGGAGAAAUUCCUGAGUGCUUGAAUCCCACAUGCCGGAAGCCGCACCACACUUGGACUUCUCAAUACAGGAGCCAGCUCCAGUGUCCUACAGAUGUGCCUCUUUUCUCUUUGAAGCUGAGAAACCAAGUCAUGCUGAAGACCUGGAAAUCCCAGCAGGCUGCAAACCAGCUGCAACUACAAUGGGUCAGCCCUUUUGAGAUGCUGCUGACUACCCACUUAUCUGCCAAGUUAGCCAGUGUUAAGCCAUGGAUUCACCACGCUCAGAUAAAACCUGCCCCUCUGGGAUCCCUCCAGAAAAAAACAGGCAUGCUGUUGUGAACCCUAAGAUGGCCUUAAGUUAAUAUUCAAUGCCCAGCCAAAGACCCUAAAUAAGAAGUCAUAAAGGAAACAUGUGCUUUUCAGGUACCAAUCACCCUCCAGAUCUAAGAAUGGCUUCAGGCUGGGGCUGCAGUCACCUCUUUGCCCAGCUUCUCCCCUGCCCUAUUCUGCUUCACUUGCAUCCUUAAAGGUUCCACCCAAGAGCUCUUCUACAAGAAAGCACCUAUAAAGCCAGACACAUUGGCUUAUGCCUAUAAUCCUAGCACUUUGGGAGGCCAAGGUAGGAGGAUGGCUUGAGGCCAGGAGUUCAAGACCAGCCUGGGCAACUUAGUGAGGCCCCGUCUCUAUAAAAAAUAAAAAAAUUAACCAGGUGUGGUGGUGCACGUCUCUAGUCUCAGCUACUCAGGAGGCUGUGGCAGGAAGAUGGCUUGAGCCCAGGAGGUUGAGGCUGCAGUGAACUAAGAUCAUGCCACUGCACCCAUCUUGGGCAACAGAAUGAGAUCCUGUCUCUAAAAAAAUAAAAACAAUUUACAACAGUAAGCACCUGUACACAAGCCCCAUCUCCAGUCCUGUUUCUAGGGCUUCCAAUUUAACACACCUAGAGGCUGGGCAUAGUAGCUCAUGCCUGUAAUCCCAAUACUUUGGGAGGCUGAGGCAAGUGAAGCACUUGAGGUCAGGAGUUCGAGACCAGCCUGGCCAACAUGGCAAAACCCCAUCUCUACUAAAAAUGCAAACAUUAGCUGGGCAUGGUGGCACAUGCCUGUAAUCCCAGCUACUCGGGAGGCUGAGACAGGAGAAUCACUUGAACCCAGGAGGUGGAGGUUACAGUGAGCCAAGAUCACACCACUGUACCACAGCCUGAGCAACGAAAGAAGACUCUGUCUAAAAAAAGUAAAAAAUAAAAUAAAACACACCUGGAGCUUUCUACAUCCCGUAGGUAUCUGUGUUUCUUUCUCGUGCCCUAUUUGACA
rnacentral:lncRNA from 1 species